GUUUCUUCAAAGAAGUUUCACUGGCAUUUGGGGUUGUGUAGAGUCUGUGGAGAAAAGAAGACAAAAGAAAGGAUGAAACCAUCUGGACUGUAGUUUGUUGUACCUACAAGGUUCUUGAGAACACCACUUCUGCUGUCUUCCACGAGUGGUCACUGUGCUGGGUGCAAGACAUAACUUUCUUCGGCACUUCAAAAAGAAAGAGAAAGGAAGAAAAGAGGAAAGAAGAAGGGAGGGAAGAAGAAGGGAAGGAAAGGAAGUAAGGA
rnacentral:lncRNA from 1 species